rnacentral:miRNA from 1 species
UUGGGGGAUGGGUUGCUUGGC